rnacentral:ncRNA from 1 species
NNNNNNNNNUAAUUUGACUCAACACGGGGCAACUUACCCGGUCCGGACAUCGUCAGGAUUGACAGACGCUCGUGCAGUUCUUUCUCGAUUCGAUGGGUGGUGGUGCAUGGCCGUUCGUGGCUGGUGAAGUGAAAAGUCUGGUUUAUUCCGCUAACGGGCGAGGCCUCGCCCUUAACUAGUCGGCUCGUGGUUCUCGAAUCGUAGUCUCCCUUCGGGGAGCAGGGAGAACAUCGGGCGAGUCGCAGCGAUCGUCGCUACUUCUUAGGGGGAUCCCGAGCAAGCUUAAGCUAGGUGAGAGAGAUCAAUAACAGGUCAGUGAUGCCCUUAGAUGUCCGGGGCCGCACGCGCGCUACACUGAAGACGAAAGCGCGAGUGCCUACGGUCUUGGUUUGGUCAGGCCGGGAACCCGCCCCGAGAGGGGAGGUUGGGGCUGUUCCUUCACGGGGGCAGUCUCGCCUACUGCGGGUUAACCGUGCCAAUCGUCUUCGUGCUGGGGAUCGGGGCUUGCAACUCAGCCCCGUGAACGAGGAAUUCCGAGUAGGCGUCCGUCAUCAGCUGGCGCCGAUUA